AUUGAACGCUGGCGGCAGGCCUAACACAUGCAAGUCGAGCGGAGCAGCGGACGGGUGAGUAAUGCCUAGGAACCUGCCUGGUAGUGGGGGAUAACGUCCGGAAACGGGCGCUAAUACCGCAUACUAUCAGAUGAGCCUAGGUCGGAUUAGCUAGUGGGUGGGGUAAAGGCCUACCAAGGCGACGAUCGGUAACUGGUCUGAGAGGAUGAUCAGGCAAACUGGAGCUGAGACACGGUCCAGACUCCUACGGGAGGCAGCGGUGGGGAAUAUUGGACAAUGGGCGAAAUGCUGAUCCAGCCAUGCCGCGUGUGUGAAGAAGGUCUUCGGAUUGUAAAGCACUUUAAGUUGGGAGGCGUUACCAACAGAAUAAGCACCGGCUAACUUCGUGCCAGCAGCCGCGGUAAUAC
rnacentral:rRNA from 1 species